UACGUAGGUGGCAAGCGUUAUCCGGAAUUAUUGGGCGUAAAGCGCGCGCAGGUGGUUUCUUAAGUCUGAUGUGAAAGCCCACGGCUCAACCGUGGAGGGUCAUUGGAAACUGGGAGACUUGAGUGCAGAAGAGGAAAGUGGAAUUCCAUGUGUAGCGGUGAAAUGCGUAGAGAUGUGGAGGAACACCAAUGGCGAAGGCAGCCUUCUGGGCCAACACUGACGCUCAUGCACGAAAGCGUGGGGAGCAAACAGG
rnacentral:rRNA from 1 species